rnacentral:hammerhead_ribozyme from 1 species
GCACUGCUGAGGAGUCCCACAACAGGAUGAAACCGCUGUCCAGUAC